rnacentral:rRNA from 1 species
AGUGGGGAAUAUUGCACAAUGGGCGCAAGCCUGAUGCAGCCAUGCCGCGUGUGUGAAGAAGGCCUUAGGGUUGUAAAGCACUUUCAGUCGUGAGGAAAGGUGUGUGCUUAAUACGUACAUACUGUGACGUUAGCGACAGAAGAAGGACCGGCUAACUCCGUGCCAGCAGCCGCGGUAAUACGGAGGGUCCGAGCGUUAAUCGGAAUUACUGGGCGUAAAGCGCGCGUAGGUGGAUUGGUCAGUCAGAUGUGAAAGCCCAGGGCUCAACCUUGGAACUGCAUCUGAUACUGCUAGUCUAGAAUACAGUAGAGGGUAGUGGAAUUUCCUGUGUAGCGGUGAAAUGCGUAGAUAUAGGAAGGAACACCAGUGGCGAAGGCGACUACCUGGACUGAUAUUGACACUGAGGUGCGAAAGCGUGGGGAGCAAACAGGAUUAGAUACCCUGGUAGUCCACGCCGUAAACGAUGUCUACUAGCCGUUGGAAGACUUGAUCUUUUAGUGGCGAAGCUAACGCGAUAAGUAGACCGCCUGGGGAGUACGGCCGCAAGGUUAAAACUCAAAUGAAUUGACGGGGGCCCGCACAAGCGGUGGAGCAUGUGGUUUAAUUCGACGCAACGCGAAGAACCUUACCAACUCUUGACAUCCAGAGAAGAGGCUAGAGAUAGCUUUGUGCCUUCGGGAGCUCUGAGACAGGUGCUGCAUGGCUGUCGUCAGCUCGUGUUGUGAAAUGUUGGGUUAAGUCCCGUAACGAGCGCAACCCUUGUCCUUAUUUGCCAGCACGUAAU